rnacentral:rRNA from 1 species
UACAGAGGUCCCAAGUGUUGUUCGGAUUCACUGGGCGUAAAGGGUGCGUAGGCGGUCGGGUAAGUCUGAUGUGAAAUCUCACAGCUUAACUGUGAAACUGCAUUGGAUACUAUCCGGCUCGAGGAAUGGAGGGGAGACUGGAAUACUUGGUGUAGCAGUGAAAUGCGUAGAUAUCAAGUGGAACACCAGUGGCGAAGGCGAGUCUCUGGACAUUUCCUGACGCUGAGGCACGAAAGCCAGGGGAGCAAACGGG